rnacentral:rRNA from 1 species
GUAGUUCUACCUGAAUCCAUUCCGAACUCAGAAGUAAAAUGCCGUAAUGCCGAUGGUAGUGUGGGGAUUCCCCAUGUGAGAGUAGGGCAUCGCCAGAU